CGUCCCUAAUUUGCGGAAGGAACAAUACUCCAUUCAGAACCCAUCUCCUCUUACGGAAGCUUCCUCUUUGGGUUAGAUAGAGGAGGUUUUAUUCCCCUUUAAAAUUUUAGCAGCUCCACUUCUUCUUGCGGUGGGCUCACAGCCACCUCUCCUCUUCGGGUUAGAAGAGGAGAGCUCUCCACCUCUUCCGGACAAUACCUUUGCCUACAUCAACCCUCUCCUUCAUCAAUUUCAAGCAACACUCCAUUGAUUUCGAAAGCAAUUCAUUCUCCUCUUCGGGUUAGAAGAGGAGCAUCCUUCAUCAGGCCGCAUUUCUCCAUCCGGUGAUUCCAGGCAAUAACCCUUUAUUAACCAAUUCAAGAAGUUGUUCCAGCUCAUGAGGAAAAACAAGGAGACAAGGAGUUUUGUAUCAACUUGGAACUGGUUGGUGCGAAUUUUCUUAUAAGUUUCCUGGACAGUAACUGAUCCAAUUCAAGUGCCUGACUUGCGAGGUAAUUUGAUGUUCCAUUUUCUCCAUGAAGUCUAUUCUCAAUUGACUCAAAACUCUUGAAGUGCUCAGGAAUUUGGAAUUCAGAUACUCUGAAAUUCCUGAUGAACAGACAUUGAUGAACAGAAAUCUCAGCCCAAGAAAUGUAGUUGUUGAUGAGGAAGUUCUGAAAUGUUAGAUUGAGUGCCUAACAUCUGGGAUGAUUUAAUCUCCGAAACUAUGAGCCACUGAAGACCAGUAUGGAUUCUGAAGAUCUGAAUUCUGAAGCUUGAAUUGGAUUUUAAAUUUCAGGAAUGCAGAAGUACCUUAAGCAAAACAAAAUCUGCUGCUGAUCAAAUUCUAUGGUUGAAGUGUUUAUGUUUGCUUUCAACAUGCUUUUCUAACAACUCUUGUUGCUCAUUGGCACUCAUCCGGGGCAACGGUUUAUAAAUAUGAUGAACCAUGAACUGAUAGGAGGAUAUUGCUUGUGCUAUUAAGGAAUCAGUUUCAUUUUAAAAAAAAAACUUGUAGAAACUGGCGUGCCAAAUUUGUUUGUGAAUUUCGGAGCAAUGAAAAGUCAAGAGAAGUUGUUCUGAAAUUGCCAUUUGGUGCUCUCUCCUUCAGAGGCCUUUUGUGAUUCGAAAUCUGAAUUUUCCUGGAAUCAUAUUUCUGAAACUAAUCUCUGGAAGCUGUGAAUCUGCUGGAUUGUUGCAAGGUCUGGUUGUAUCUUUAUCUGAACAACAUGAACGAAAUUUCGAGCCAUUCAGGAAGGAGAGUAUUACUGAAAAUGCUUUUACAAUGUACAUUUUGACUAAAAUGUUUAUGA